rnacentral:rRNA from 1 species
AGAACGAACGCUGGCGGCAGGCCUAACACAUGCAAGUCGAGCGCUGUAGCAAUACAGAGCGGCGCACGGGUGAGUAACACGUGGGAACGUGCCCUUUGGUUCGGAAUAACUCAGGGAAACUUGAGCUAAUACCGGAUGAGCCCUAACGGGGGAAAGAUUUAUCGCCGAAGGAGCGGCCCGCGUUGGAUUAGCUAGUUGGUGGGGUAAAAGCCUACCAAGGCGACGAUCCAUAGCUGGUUUGAGAGAACGACCAGCCACACUGGGACUGAGACACGGCCCAGACUCCUACGGGAGGCAGCAGUGGGGAAUCUUGGACAAGUGGGGGAAACCCUGAUCCAGCCAUGCCGCGUGAGUGAUGAAGGCCCUAGGGUUAGUAAAACUCGUUUCGGGCGGGACGAUAAGUGGACGGUACCCGCAGAAGAAGCUCCGGCUAACUCGUGCCAGCAGCCGA